AUGUGCUUUUCUUUCUCCUUUUGCUCUUUUUUUUUUUCUUCUUUUGUUCCUUGCCCUGACUUGUUAGUGGGUUUGUUGAAGCAGUUACUGGUGCAGCAGCUGGGUUUGACUGAGAAGAGCAGUCAGGAAGACUGGCGGCAGUUCUCCAGAUACAGGACAGCCCCUCAAGAGGCUCAGGCCGACAGUGGGAUCCAGAACUCUGAAAAUACUAAGGUCUGUCAUUCUGCCGAAGGACAGGUCCCCUUUAGAACUGGAGCUGGUGACAGUGCAGGUUGUAACAGUUCACGAACUUCAACUGAAUCUUCUGCUCCACCGGAUUCAGUGGUACUGGCAUCCCAAGAUAGCCAGACAAGUAACAUUUUAGUAAUGGACCACAUGAUUCUGACCCCAGAGGUAUCUACCACAGAACCAGAAGGGGGUCUGGAUGAGAGUGGAGAGCACUUUUUUGAUGCCUGUGAAGCACAUAGCGAUGAUAAUCCAUCAGAAGGUGAUGGAGCAAUUAAAAAGGAAGAGAAGGAUGUUAAUUUACACAUCUCAGGAAAUUGCUUGAUCCUUGAUGGCUAUGACACAGUGCAGGAGAGCUCCACGGAUGAGGAAGCUGCUUCCUCAUUUCUCCUGCAGCCUGUGGCAGGCCUCCCCUCCAUGGACUCUGCCUACCAGGAACAGUAUUCUCCUCAGAGCGCUCAUUCUGAUGGGGCAGGGUCACCAUUCAUCCCAGAAUUCCUGCUCCAGCGACGCUGGGGAGCUAUGGAAGAUUCCUGUUUUGAGAUCCAGACUCCCUCCUCUUGUGCAGAUUCUCAAAGCCAGAUCAUGGAGUACAUUCAUAAGAUAGAGGCUGACCUUGAGCACUUAAAGAAGGUGGAGGAAAGCUACACCCUUCUGUGCCAAAGGUUGGCUGGAUCAGCCCUCACAGACAAGCACUCAGAUAAAAGUUAGAGCCGAGUGUCCUGGAGGUGACUGCAGGUUGUUGGAUUUUGAGCAUCGGCCUUGUAUCAACCACAUCCUGGCUGCAGUGUGGACGCAGAGAUAGUGUGCUAGAGGACCUGCCUAAGAACCACCAGGGAUUAACCGUGUCCCAAG
rnacentral:lncRNA from 1 species